rnacentral:rRNA from 1 species
CCCAUAAUAUACUGGAUGGCAUCAUUCGGUAUUGAAAACUCCGGUGGAUAGAGAUGGGCACGCGCAAGAUUAGAUAGUUGGUGAGGUAACGGCUCACCAAGUCUGCGAUCUUUAGGGGGCCUGAGAGGGUGAUCCCCCACACUGGUACUGAGACACGGACCAGACUCCUACGGGAGGCAGCAGUGAGGAAUAUUGGACAAUGGGUGAGAGCCUGAUCCAGCCAUCCCGCGUGAAGGACGACGGCCCUAUGGGUUGUAAACUUCUUUUGUAUAGGGAUAAACCUACUCUCGUGAGAGUAGCUGAAGGUACUAUACGAAUAAGCACCGGCUAACUCCGUGCCAGCAGCCGCGGUAAUACGGAGGGUGCAAGCGUUAUCCGGAUUUAUUGGGUUUAAAGGGUCCGUAGGCGGAUUUGUAAGUCAGUGGUGAAAUCUCACAGCUUAACUGUGAAACUGCCAUUGAUACUGCAAGUCUUGAGUGUUGUUGAAGUAGCUGGAAUAAGUAGUGUAGCGGUGAAAUGCAUAGAUAUUACUUAGAACACCAAUUGCGAAGGCAGGUUACUAAGCAACAACUGACGCUGAUGGACGAAAGCGUGGGGAGCGAACAGGAUUAGAUACCCUGGUAGUCCACGCCGUAAACGAUGCUAACUCGUUUUUGGGCUUUCGGGUUCAGAGACUAAGCGAAAGUGAUAAGUUAGCCACCUGGGGAGUACGAACGCAAGUUUGAAACUCAAAGGAAUUGACGGGGGCCCGCACAAGCGGUGGAUUAUGUGGUUUAAUUCGAUGAUACGCGAGGAACCUUACCAAGGCUUAAAUGGGAAAUGACAGGUUUAGAAAUAGACUUUUCUUCGGACAUUUUUCAAGGUGCUGCAUGGUUGUCGUCAGCUCGUGCCGUGAGGUGUUAGGUUAAGUCCUGCAACGAGCGCAACCCCUGUCACUAGUUGCCAUCAUUAAGUUGGGGACUCUAGUGAGACUGCCUACGCAAGUAGAGAGGAAGGUGGGGAUGACGUCAAAUCAUCACGGCCCUUACGCCUUGGGCCACACACGUAAUACAAUGGCCGGUACAGAGGGCAGCUACACAGCGAUGUGAUGCAAAUCUCGAAAGCCGGUCUCAGUUCGGAUUGGAGUCUGCAACUCGACUCUAUGAAGCUGGAAUCGCUAGUAAUCGCGCAUCAGCCAUGGCGCGGUGAAUACGUUCCCG